rnacentral:rRNA from 1 species
GACGAACGCUGGCGGCGUGCUUAACACAUGCAAGUCGAACGGAAAGGCCCUGCUUUUGUGGGGUGCUCGAGUGGCGAACGGGUGAGUAACACGUAAGUAACCUGCCCUUGACUUUGGGAUAACUUCAGGAAACUGGGGCUAAUACCGGAUAGGAGCUCCUGCUGCAUGGUGGGGGUUGGAAAGUUUCUGCGGUUGGGGAUGGACUCGCGGCUUAUCAGCUUGUUGGUGGGGUAGUGGCUUACCAAGGCUUUGACGGGUAGCCGGCCUGAGAGGGUGACCGGCCACAUUGGGACUGAGAUACGGCCCAGACUCCUACGGGAGGCAGCAGUGGGGAAUAUUGCACAAUGGGCGGAAGCCUGAUGCAGCAACGCCGCGUGCGGGAUGACGGCCUUCGGGUUGUAAACCGCUUUCGCCUGUGACGAAGCGUGAGUGACGGUAAUGGGUAAAGAAGCACCGGCUAACUACGUG